GAUUAUGGCUCAGGAUGAACGCUGGCGGCGUGCUUAACACAUGCAAGUCGAACGAAGCAACUUAUUACGAUCCCUUCGGGGUGACGAUUGUUGACUGAGUGGCGGACGGGUGAGUAACGCGUGGGUAACCUACCUUGUACAGGGGGACAACAGUUGGAAACGACUGCUAAUACCGCAUAAGCGCACAGCUUCGCAUGAAGCAGUGUGAAAAGUUAUUUCGGUACAAGAUGGACCCGCGUCUGAUUAGCUAGUUGGUGAGGUAACGGCCCACCAAGGCGACGAUCAGUAGCCGACCUGAGAGGGUGACCGGCCACAUUGGGACUGAGACACGGCCCAAACUCCUACGGGAGGCAGCAGUGGGGAAUAUUGCACAAUGGGCGAAAGCCUGAUGCAGCGAACCGCCGCGUGAGCGAAGAAGUAUUUCGGUAUGUAAAGCUCUAUCAGCAGGGAAGAUAAUGACGGUACCUGACUAAGAAGCACCGGCUAAAUACGUGCCAGCAGCUGC
rnacentral:rRNA from 1 species